rnacentral:rRNA from 1 species
CGAGCGCAACCCCUGCCGUCUGUUGCCACCACGAAAGGUGGGGACUCAGGCGGGACCGCCGGUGACAAACCGGAGGAAGGUGGGGACGACGUCAAGUCAUCAUGGCCCUUAUGUCCUGGGCCACACACGUGCUACAAUGGCCGGUACAGAGCGCAGCGAGGCCGCGAGGCGGAGCGAAUCGCUUAAAGCCGGUCCCAGUACGGAUUGGAGUCUGCAACCCGACUCCAUGAAGUUGGAAUCGCUAGUAAUCGCGCAUCAGCAUGGCGCGGUGAAUACGUUCCCGGGCCUU